UUACAAGGCGGAAAUGGAGGAAAUGGAGCACAGUGGUUUGUAGCUCUCACGUGGUUGCUUAUCUGCUGACCCACCUUAAUGAUGUGGAGCCACCUUACAGCUGCCCCGGCAACUUCUCUACCUUUCCAAGAAUCCUCUCUCAGCUUCUCCAACCCUGAAGCCAGGCAUAUGUUUAACUCCCACGUGCAGAGCACCAGCUUCUCCUACAGGAGGAUGCCCAUGCCAGUGUGGUCAGAGAUGCCCACACCUCAGAGAGAGCCCUCCCUUGGACUGGAGGUAUAAGGACAUGAGCCAGGUAACCGCACCUGUGGAAAGUCCACCGGUUCAUUUUGAGAAUUCGUGUUAGUAUUCAUGCAGCAGCUGGGGCCUUACCUGGGAAGAGAUAAAUAGCCCCCAGGCAUUUGCCUUGUAAAACCUUGCCAACAACCCAUCAUUAAAACUUAAAGAGCCUGUAUUUCUCUAUCAAUGAACAUAAAUACACUGCAUUAAAAUGAACUCUUGCUAUACUCCUCACCAAACUCCAAGUUCUCUGAGGUGAGGACUGAAUCUUUCUUGUUCACCAUUUUCCCUCCUUCACCAAGUUCAAGGUCAGACCCAGAGUAGGUAGGCAUAUUCCUGGGUAAGUAAUGGAGUUUCAUGCUUGCUUGUAUUUUACCAGUGGACUUGGGGAAAUGUUCCCUCUCAGGGGAGAUGAACGGGCAUGAAGAGUGACAGAAAAGAUGUUUUGGUUUUCUCGCCUUCCUGAAGGCACAGCUGUUAGGCUGGGCCAAGCUGCUUGGUUGUGAAUCACACAGAAUUUUGGGGCUACAGGAUUAAUUUUAUAAUUGUGUACAAUUGUGCAGUUGUAAGGUUCAGUAGUGAGCAGUUCAAGGAGUGAAAACAUAAAGGAAACAAAUGGCUCCAGAGGCAUACACUGAGAUAAAACAGUGAAGAAAAAAAGAAGACAUCACCUGGAAAGUGAUCAACAGUAGUUGAAGCUGUUGUAAUGGCUUUCGCCGCUGGCUGGGAAAUCCUUGCAGAUUCAGUCAGUCGCUUGGAACACUCAGAUGCCUCCCUUUUCUCUCAGCAUGUGGAGCCACUGUCACUAUAUUGAUAGGUAGUGAAUUAGCUUUCUAUUGCUGCUGUAACAAAUCACCGCAUACUUGGUGGCUUAAACAAUGCACAUACACUCUCUCAUAGUUCUAUAGGUCAAAAGUCCAACGUGUGUCUUCUAGGCUAAAAUUCGGGGCUGAGCCCUGUCUAGAGGCUCUAGAUGGAAAUCCAUUUCUUUGGCUUUUCCACCUUCUAGAAGCCUGCCCACGUUCCUUGGCUCGUGGCCCCCUUCUUCCAUCCUCAAUGUCAGCAAGAACAGAUGGAGUGCUUCUCAUAUUGUUAUAUCUCUGCAUAUGUGCAGCCUGUGAAGUUUCUCUGCUCUUAAGAAUUCAUAUGGAUGCAUUGGAUAUACCUGCAUAAUUCAAGAAAACCACUUCAUCUCAAGGUCCUUAACUGUAAUCCUGUGUGCACAGUUUCUUUUGCCAUGUAAAGCAACACAGUCCCAAGUUCUGAGGAUGGGGGGGUGGACAUCUUUGGGGUCCGUCAUUCUGCCACUACAGUUAGUUCCAUGCCUUUUUAAAACCUCAUUGAGGCUGUCCCCAGAUACAUCAUUGGAAACACCCUCUUGUGCUUGGCACAGUUUAGGGGGUGAUAGGGAGGUACGUGCUGCCUAUAUUCUCUUUCCAUGACGGGGAACCCAUCCCUCCAGCUCCUGGGAAUGAUCAUGGUGACUUCAUGCAGCUUGGUCUUUUUUGGGAAUUGUCAUCUGUUGAAGAUCAUCAUCACACGGAAAGUCACUGUGCCUUCUGAGGGACAGCCUGCAUCUAGUGACUUGCCAUUGGGGGUGUUACGAAAGCCCAGCUCCUCGGCCUUAAUGUGGGGGCAACUCUGAGGUCAUUCGAGCUUCAGCCCCACCCCUGCCGUGAUUCACUGUGACUUCAUUUCAGUUCAGUGUCCCCUUGUACCCAAAUCCACUGCCUUCAUUUCCCUACAGGGGUUGAUCCCAGGAACACUUCCCAGUAAACCGGCUGCAAAUCACCCGUUCAGAACUGGUUUCCUGGGAACCAUCUGCAAUAUACCCUGAUAGAAGAUGUGUGGAUUCCUGCAAGCAUUUGGAGCUUUCCUAAAUCUGAAUACAAAUAGGAAUGAAAAGAGCUUUCAACAGUGCACUCUCAUCAAUGAAUUGAAGAUUGCCUCCCGGGUUUGCACCCACUAACAUCUUAAUACCCAUGCAUCUUAAAUGCGGUCAAUCCUCAUUAUUUGCAGAAACGCUGCUUGCACACUUGUCAUCUCCCUGAAAUUUGUUUGUAACCUCCAAGCCAGGGCUCCCAGCACUUUCAGGCUUUACAGAUAUGUGCAGAGUGAUGAAAACUUUGAGUUGCCUGACACAGACAUUCCCAGCUGAGGUUGAACAAGGUGACAUUCUGCCUUCGUGUUCCAGCUCUCACACUGAAAACAAAUGUCCUUUUCAUGGUGUAUUUAGUUUAGUUGUUUUUUGUUUUUGUUUUUGGUUUUUUUUGCACAUUUUGUCUUUUCUUUUUGUUGGUGAUUUGCUGUUUAAAGUGGCCCCCAAGCACAGUGCUGAAAUACUGUCUAGUGUUCCUAUGCUAUGGAGAAGCCUGUGAUGUGCCUCUUGGAGAAAAUACUUGUGUUAGAUGAGCUUCCCUCAGGCAGAGUUAUAGUGCUAUUGGCUGUGAUUAUUGAAGUAACAACAUAUAAUGAAUAAUGUCUUUAAACAGAAACAUACAUAAAGCAAGUUUAUGUGUUAAUCGACUGAUGAAAGUGUUAUGACCAGAAGCAUAUAGGAACUUAGCUCGUAUUUCCCCAAGAAGUAAUGGUUCAGUAUUUGCUAAUUCAGUGUUCAUGGUGACUUUAUAGAACAUAAUCACCAUGAAUAAUAAGAAUCAGGGGCGCCUGGGUGGCUCAGUCGGUUAAGCGGCCGACUUCGGCUCAGGUCAUGAUCUCAUGGUCCGUAAGUUCGAACACCACGUCGGGCUCUGUGCUGACAGCUCAGAGCCUGGAGCCUGUUUCAGAUUCUGUGUCUCCCUCUCUCCGACCCUCCCCCAUUCAUGCUCUGUCUCUCUCUGUCUCAAAAAUAAAUAAAUGUUAAAAAAAAUUAAAAAAAAAAGAAUCAACUACACGUAUAAAUGCAUUUUUCCCCCCACAAAACUAGCAGGUACCUUGAAUUGCUUGUUUUGUUGUCCUGUACUUUCUGGAGGUCGUAGGUGUCCUGAAUGAAUGUUGUAAGCUUGCAUGCCUAGAAUUAUGGGAAAAAGAAAUCCUCUUACAUGCCACAUUCCAUUCUGUUCCAUACUCCUCCUCUAACCCCAUUUGUGACCCAAAGGAAUGAGAUGAUUAUGGAACCUUUCUUUGCAGACACCUAUUACACCUUGGGAAAGAGAACCCAAGUUCAUAGGUGAUGCCCUGAGCAGCUUAUGGUUGGCGGUCUCUGUGGAUUACUUCAGUACCCUUGCUGUCUCACCCGUCACGUCUCCAGGGGUUCAGGGCCUUUAUCAGUCAAGGCCAUGCCCUUAUCGCUCUUGACUACACGAGGAAAACUUCUGUGUCUUCCUGUGCCACAGUGGAAAGCAGGAGGACUCUAUCAGACUGCUUUAGGUGUCUCUGCCCGACUGUGUUUUGUGGCCAUUUUCAUUGGCCUGUUCCCCAGUGAUGGGGAGCAAAGGUGUCUUUUCUUUACCUGCAAGGCCAGGUACAGAUUCCAAACCUUUGCUUUCAAUUCUCCAAAGCUGCAUCCUCAUAAAAAUGAGGAUUUAAUGAAUCUGAGACUCCCAGUGCAUAUUGUGUGUAAUUGGAAUUACAGACCUGUGAUUUGCAUAAAUUUUUGAGAGGCUCACUUGCUUCUGGACCUCAGGUGAGAGGUAAGACACAAGAUCCUUAACAGGGACACAUUGAAGUAGCUUUCCUCUUUCCCCUGGCAACUCCUCCCCCACUAGUUUAUAGAAUUCAGAGGACAAGGUUACCCUGGCCUUUAUCUAUUCUCCCAAAUGCAUUUUUUUAUGACAUAAACUUUAUGUCUUGAAUCCUUCAGGGCUUCACUUUGAUUCUCAAAACGUCUUUUCUUUCAAACUAGUGCCUCUGCCGUAAAUUUCAAGAGACUGUAGAUUAUUCAAAAAUCACAGAAAUGACUCCCUUGUGAUCUUUGUUCAGCUGGUAGAAUCUACCCUUUGGCAAGGGAAAUAUCAAUCUAGUUUGAAUGGGGAAGGAUCAGGUACCCCAAGACGGUGCCUUAAGAACAGAUUGGGGAUGUAUGGGAUACACUUAUUCAUAUCGUAGACUAUUAUCCAGAUACGUGUGCUUUGAUUACACAUGUACCUUAUAUAUAGAAGUUUUUAUCAUGGAAAGUCUUAGAACAUGUUAUACUUCCUUCUAUGUUUGUAUUCUCUCCUUCAUAUCAUAUACACAAUUCACAUUUUCUUACAAGAAAUAAAUGUUUGAUGAUGAGUUAUUUAAGUAAUGGACCAAAGGUUUCUAAAUAUGCAAAUAUCCAUCGAGGUCACCUGCCUUCUGCUGUUUUGCAGCAUGCUAAAUAAAUUGAACCAUCCAUCAUUAUAUGACUCUACUUGGGGAAGAUUAAACAAGACAAAACAUUCAUUUCUUUUAUCUUUUUGCCUGCUUUCUUUCAUGUCCCCAUCUCUUGAUGAAGCAAUGAAUUCUAGCAGCACAUUCUUGUCUCCAAAAACAGAGGCUUUUUUUUAAUUGUGAAAAGGCUUAAUGAGAAGUGACAACCUCCUUCCUUAUCAUGGUUUAAUUUUUAAACUAUCUGAAGUCUGCUAAUUAAUUUCUUUCCAAUGUGAGUUUCAUCCUUCUUAGCAUUUUAUUGAUUCAUGGAUUAAUCAACUGCAACAUUCCUAUUGAAAGCAAAUGAAGCAUCAAUUAAAAUAAUUUUUUCUUGUGGGAGCUUAGUUUCCAAUGCUCUCACCCAUAACCGAAUUUCCAAGACACAGAACACAAAUAUUUGAAUGGUUUUUUGGGAAGUAACAUGUACUUCCCAGAGCAUGUGUUCCCAAUAUGUUCUUUUCCAGCGGCCUUGUUUCAUUUUCACUUCCCCCUUCGCCAGUGUAGACUUAACAUUUGUCACUAUAAAGAUGCUCUCACUCCUUUGCUCCUUUUUCCUUUUGUCACGCUUGAUAGCUAAGCCACCACACAGACAUACCAAAGCGACACUCAAACAGCUCCUGAAGCAGAGUGCCAUAGCCACUGGAAAAGAGAAAAGCAGCCAGUAUGAAAACAAUGAAACAUGAACCAUGAUCUGGUACAUGAAGCAGUGGGUUUAGAUUUUAAAGCCCCACUCAACCGCAACUAUCUCAGCGAGAGAUAUUGAGAAUUCCCCUCAGUUAGCCUAUUGAUAUUGAAACAGGUAACCAACUGGGCCAGCGUAACCUUGACUGGGGAGCAGAUUCAGAUGGGUUAGGUCAGGGACAGGAAAUUGAGGCGAUGAAACAGGAGAUGGAUAUAGAACUAAGUGGAGUCAAGAGUGAACCGUAAUGUAAAGCAUGGACUUCGGGUGAUAAUGAUGUCAAUGUGAGUUCAUCAGUUGUCACAAAUGUACCGCUCUGGUGGGGAAUGUGGGUAAUGGGGAAGCUUUACUUGUGUGGGGGCAGAGGGUGUCUUGGAAAUCUCUACCUUCCCCUCAAUGUUGCUGUGAACCUAAAACUGCUUUUAAAAAUUUAUUGACUUUCAAUAAAAAUUUGAAAAAAGAACCCCCAACUAGAUGGACUAUUUACUAAAUAGUUCUGUCCUGGAUCUCCUAUAUUGUGAUGAGUAGGACUCGAAAACUAGGAUUAGUGUGUUGCAUUAAUCUCUGGAGUUUGGAGUUUGCCAUACAUAUUUAGUAUACAUAAAUUUAGCAAAGGAUAUUCAAACUGCUUACACCUUGCUUAUCUUGUUCCAUUUUAAUGAAGUUUCUGGUUAUUUGAGUUAUUUCAAUGACGUACUCCUGAAUCAAAUGAACCCUGGAUAAUUUUGGUGAACAUCCCUCAGAAGAUUGUUUUCCUUCCUUUGACAGUAGCCCUACAGAGGGGAAAGGAGAAGCAUCUUAUCUAGGGGUUCCCAGCCUAAACGUCUGCUGGUGCCAGAAGGGAAAUAAAGUGAAAAGCUAAUAUAAGAGAAAAACAAGGGGGAGGUGGUAGGGUCUUGGAUGACUGGGUGAUGUGUAAU